UGAAGCAUAUUUUAAGAAUCAGCACUUUUUGUUAGACUUUGUCCACAUGGUAUACAUUGAUCUGAAAACAGGUUUACAGAAACCGAUCGCUUGGAUUGAUGCAGAUGGGAAAUGUUAUUUCCCAGAAGUAUGUCCUGAAAAUUAUGGAUUAAAUAGAUACCAUCAUUAUGGCAAGGGCAAACAAGUUCACAUGAUUUGUGAUCCAAAUGGGACACAUGAAAUUGAUGCCCGUUUGGAGAUUUCUGUUAGUGCAGCUGAAAGCUCAAGUUCAGGAUCUGAUGAUGAGGUUAUGUCCAAUGUCAAGAGGAUCAAGAGAGAAGAACAUACUUUAUGUGCUCAAGGCAAUGAGACUGUUGGAGAAAAUGAGCCAUGUCCAUUUCUCCCUUCAGAUAUUUCUGCUUUAGAAAGUUGGCAAGAAAAGAAGGUUAGACCUACUGGUGAUCCGCGAGUCAGUGCUGUGCUGGACUUGUUACUUAAGAGUUUGGGCCAAG
rnacentral:lncRNA from 1 species